rnacentral:lncRNA from 1 species
UUCCCACAGAAACACCCCGGAUGUUAUGUGGAAGGCAGUGCCGUGUUGUUAAAGUGUCAAGCUACAAGUUAUAGGAAUACUCACAGGAAAAGCAUUCCUGAAAGAGCUCUACCCUGGCUGCCUCAUUUCUCAGACUGUCAUUUCUAUGUUCUGAACAUAUCCAGUGGUACCAAUUAAAUGCUUACAGAUUAUUAAUUAAUGAAGCAGCCUGUGAGGAUUUGUGCUGCAAGGCUCCCUCAGCACUAAGAUGGCUGUUCCAGACUCCCUGGCUCCUCUGAGAUUUUCGUUCAAAAAAAAAAAACCUUUCAUGUAAAAGCUGAGAUGGGUUUAGAAUUUGCUAUAUAGUUCAAAAUAGCAGUGAUAAAUAAAUGAAAAUAUUUUAAGAUGUGGAUAACUGUAGAAUUGACAUUUGCAGGAGGAAGGAAAAGCCAGGGGGAAGUCUGGUGUUGGGGGAGAACCACCCUCACGUGUCACAGAUGAGUGUUCCACAGGCUGCAGCCAAGUGCUCCUGCCUCACGUGUGUGACCACAGGAGCAGCCAGCUUCCAUGUGACUGGGGAGGAAUGUUGAGCACAGCUUUCAGUGUGCUUUAAUGCAUGCCUGCAAAGUAAAUUUCUACAGCUGUUGUAUAGUCGAGUGGAUUUCUUUUAUGAAGUGCUUGUAAGAUGUCAUUUAACAGGGUUGAUAUUGAAAAACAGCUCAUGCUUUUUGUCUUCUUUAAAAUCAGCAGGAGUUUUGGAGCAGUGAUGCAGAGAAUUUGCAGGGAAGCCCAGGACAUCUUUCAGCUAAUGGGACCCAUACAUGAAAUGUAGUCCAGAAAUGGCUCCAAAGAACUUUCAGCAUCAAUCAACAAGAUAGAUGAAGAGAGAAGCAGAACUACUUGCCCACAUAUGAAGUCAAGAGGUGAGUGACAGAAAAGAGAAAAAAAAGUUUCAGAUUUGUAUGAUUAAUAUGCAGUAUUUAAAAUCUAACUGGAUUGCUUUAUGAUGAUCAAAUAAGUAGCAGAGGUAGGAAGCUGAAUAUUAUGAACUUUACAUAACAGCCACCUCUCAUCACUCUUUUAAAACAUGAACCAAUUUGUUUCCAGCACAUCCCUGGAUGAAUAAGUGCAC